UACGAAGGGUGCAAACGUUGCUCGGAAUUAUUGGGCGUAAAGCGCACGUAGGCGGCUUUGCAAGUCCCAUGUGAAAUCCCACGGCUCAACCGUGGAAGUGCAUGGGAAACUGCAGAGCUUGAGUACUUAAGAGGAUCGCGGAAUUCCCGGUGUAGAGGUGAAAUUCGUAGAUAUCGGGAGGAACACCGGUGGCGAAGGCGGGACUCUGGGCCGAUACUGACGCUGAGGAGCGAAAGCGUGGGGAGCAAACAGG
rnacentral:rRNA from 1 species